rnacentral:SRP_RNA from 1 species
GCCGGGUGUGGUGGCUCACGCUUGUAAUCCCAACACUUUGGGAGGCUGAGGCGGGUGGAUCACCUGAGGUCAGGAGUUCGAGACCAGCCUGGCCAACAUGGUGAAACCCCGUCUCUA